AAACCGUUGAAAGGGAAGCGAAUGGAGUUAGCAAUUCGCCCUGCCAGAUUCAGUUGAUCGUGCUUCGCGACGUGCGCGCUCUCGAUCCGCAUGGACGAGACGUGUGCGGGUGCGAUGCUCGGUCGGCGCACUUCUGGCGAGCGAGCGUCAGCGUCGGUUGUCGACGGGCGACAAGGACACGAGGAAGGUGGGCCGGUCUUCGCGGCCGGUUGUUAAGCCUCGUGCUCGCAUAGCUCGACGGCGACCGUGGCUCUGCGACGCGUGCCUGGCUGGCGACUCGUACGAUCGGUUCGGCAUGUCGACCGUGGCGGACGGCACGCCUGUGCGCUCAAACUGCUGCCGGUCGAUCGUUCGAUGUUCGCACACUACGCGUCGAAGAUGCUGACGGCCAUACGGCUCCAUCCGACCCGUCUUGAAACACGGACCAAGGAGUCUAACAUGUGCGCGAGUCUCCGGGUGAUCGAAACCCGUGGGCACAAUGAAAGUAAAGAUCGUCCUAGACGAUUGAGGUGAGAAGCAAAAUCCACCUCGGUGGUAUUUGCGGCAUCAUCGACCGACCUAUUCUGCUCUCAGAAAGGUUUGAGUAAGAGCGUAUCUGUUGGGACCCGAAAGAUGGUGAACUAUGCCUGAAUAGGGUGAAGCCAGCGGAAACACUGG
rnacentral:rRNA from 1 species